UUUCUUUGGAAUUCAUUUUGCUAGACAAUAUUUUAAAAUAACAUCCAUGAAAAUUAAGAGGUAUUUGCUGCUUGGUUUGUGAGCCUUGGAUGACUAAGUUUUCAGUGAAAGUCUUGUUCUUCCAUUCCCAUCUUGUUCUUCCAUUCCCAACCUUCACUAGUUCUAAGUAGAUGUUUAAAUAUCCAGUCAAAGGCUAUGCUGUGGGUGGUGUUACAUCUUUUCAGGCAGUUUUUCAUCAUAUGCUCUGAAGUUCAGUAUCCUUUGAGAAUUGGAAAGACAACACUGCCUCCAUUUUACAGAUGGCAAAACUGAGUUGUGAGGAAGCCUUUUUGAUAAACUUUACAGGCCAGAUGUAAUUAUCAGCUCUUCAUACCAACUUGCAUAAACCACUUCUGCAUGUUUGGAGAAGUCAUGGAUGAUACUUGCCAAAUCCAUAGUGAUUCUAGAGACAGUUUAUUCUCAUGUCCUACUUGGCUGGACUUUGUAUUAUCUGAUAGCAGGUGUAUCAGCAAGGUGAUGAUACAGCAGAGACUAAAAAGAAAGGAUGCAUUAUAGACACAGAAGAAAUUUCUUUGCCUUCAGAUAGAUUGAGAUUUUCUCAUAAUUGUUCCCUUGUGGUUCAACAGUAUAUAAUUAUAAAAAUAACAAUGGUAACAGCAAAAAAAAUCUAGACUAAGACUGUAUCUUCUAUUGUUGCUGGACUUCCUUCCUUUUCUAACUAAAAAUCAAGAGAUAAUCAAUAAGUAUGAAUACCAAAUCUGGUCUCCCUUAAAGAAGUGAAUUAAUUUCUUUGUGAAAAUUCAUAUGCAGGAAAUACGGUUGGAGCUGGUUAAGUUACUGUCCUGUUCCAUGCCAGGAAGAGACUAGACAAAACAUUCGGCUUGUAGAAUUCAGCUAUAGGAGCAUGUGUCACUGUCACUGUAUUGUCACUGUUAAAUUAGCUCUAGAAAGGGAAGAUACUGGAAUUUAACUACAGAGACAUGGUGUGUGUGUGUGCACAUACCCUCUUGGUGAUUCCCCUCCCAACUGCCAGCUGUCAUACAGAGUCUGAAACAGACAAAAAUUUAUUGGGUAGUAUUUAGAAACAUGUCAGUGGUAACGACUGGAUCUCUGAUUUCAAUUAUCACCUACUAAAUUUAGGCUAAUGUAGUGCAUUUGUAGACCUGUUGAAUGCACUUGACAUCAUGUUUAAAAUAUUUGAAACUGCACUGGUUUUUAAUAUCAUACAUUGACCGCUUUCUUUUUCCUACUCACAUCUGGUGCAUGGCAGCAGGCAUCCCAUGUGACCUAUAAAAACUUCAGUUGUGCUAGUUUGAGUUUCUUUUUCUUCUUCAGAUAAUAUUUCAGCAGAGGAGAAGAAAGUAGUCUGAGACUACAAUUGGUUUAAUGAAACUGCUCUAAGAUCUGUAAUUCACCGUUUUUCCUCCUUUACAAUCAGUGUGUAAACAGCAUUUUAAGCUUUAUUCCUAUAUUUACCUUUAUUUUUUUCAUUGAAAAUUCUUGGGAUUUAGGGUCCUUGGUCAUUUGGGUGCUCUUAAAACUAUUUUAAUAAUAAAUUACCUAUAGUCACUAUUUUUUUGUAGAAUGACAGGUGAGAUUUCGGGUGGAAUCUGUGAUUAUACACCAUUUCUAGUGUUAUAUUAGAAGAGAUUAAAGUUUAAAUCCAAAUUACUGCGUUCUGCUUUGCUUAUUUUGCAAAGAUUUUAUGUGCUCUUAUUUUAGGAUUUUUUAGGGGGAUUAUUUUUAAAAGAAUGUUUUCUAAGUACUGGAAUACUUUAUUGGAGUGCUGCUAAGUAAUUUUGUCUUCAAAUCUUGUACUCUUUCCAUACCUAUCAUCCUCACAUGUAUUUAUGAAAUUUAUAUGCUGAUGUUUGCAACUCUGAGCUUAUCUUCUAACUAUUGGAAUAGUAGCUAUUGAAGUAAUUUGUUUGGUAGCACUCAAGAGUACUAAUCAACACAAUCUUUAGUUUGUGUUUCUGUGAAAAUAUUAUGAGCUUUUAAAGUUACAUCCAGGUCUGCACGCAACUAAUGUAAGAAACACAACAGUCUCCAAAUAUGUGUAGAUUACUUGAAGUAAGUUCAUUGUCCACAUCUUCAUAGUUACGAAGACAAACUUGGGGAAUUCCAGAAGUAUAAAUAUCCUCCUCCUUUAAAGCAAAAUCCCAGCAUGCUUAUACUAAUUUGGCUUUGUUGUGGUUUCUCAUGUCUAGGAGUACAUUUUUCAAUAGUAUUCACCAUGGUAGUUAGCAGGUUCUUUUCCUGCCUAAUGCUUCCAGACAUCCUUUACAUGGCUUAUUCGUAAGAAUCUCAAAGUUUAUUUUAAGCUGAAAUCAUUUUUAAAAAAACCUGAGCAUUUUAUCUCUGAAAUACAAGACACAAUAGGAGAAGAUUUCAAAAUGGGUAUUUGAAACAUGCCUUCUGGGAGAGGAAACAAAUCUUGAAGAUUAAAUUUUAGUAAAGUUGGAUGUAGGCCUUCUGGUGAAAUGUGUAAGGAUGUACAGUCUUACUGAUGAUUUCUCAUUUUCAGAAUUGCUACAAGUGUCUUGAAUGGUAAGUUUCAGGAGUAAUUUCCUCUGAGGCUUAUUUUAUGGGGAUUUUGUUUUGGUUUUGUUGUGGAAAUUGUUUAUAAUUCCUUAGAAAUUCUCCAAGCCAAGCAUGGAUGCAGAUGGCAUCCAAUAAUUGCAAGGGAUCUAUCUACCUAGUGGCUUCAUGGUAUUAUCAAAGUUACCAUCAAAAAGGAGCAAUGUUUACUACUCUGAUUAAAGCUUGUCCAGUGCAAUCCUAAAACUCAUAAUUGAUCACAAGUCACAGAAAAUGCCUAUCUAACUUCAUUACAUCCAGCCUACAUAUAAGCUCUGUUUGUCUUCCUUUCACAGAGAUAAGUUUUUCUCAAUGGAGAAUCCAUUUAAUGUGAGCCCUAUGUUGUUUUUACUUUUCCUUAAAUGUUUGAAAAAUGAAAGGUAGGAUCUGAGAAGUUGUCAACAUAUAAAUUUCAAUCAUAAACUAAGAACAGUCUAAGUUCUGAAUAGCUUGUGGAACUUGCUUUGCUCUGUUGUUUGUUUCUUUAGUAGUUUGAGACCUCCUGAUGAGUAGAUUCUGUUCUGUGCCAUCACUUCUAACCUGUUUUGUUGUUCCUACCAUAAUGCUGAGAUUUUGGAAGCAUGCAGGGUGGGUAUUUCACUUGUUUGUUUUGAUAUGUUCUAAUGAUAGUGUAUUGGUUUGCAAAUAUAGGGAAUUUCUCUGCUGCUCAACUUUGCUAACCUUUCUAAUUGCUCUGUACUCAGUUCUUCUCAAAUCAUUCCUGUGCUGCCUGACUGCUACCUUGGAUGACCCAGUGAUGGACAGUUGUGCUGGCUUCCACUUUAUUCCCACAAAUUCUUCUAUUCUGUGUGGCUGCAAAAGUGUUUCCUCUGCUUCCAGAGAAGUCAAAGAAAACUGACACUGACAGAAGACAAAAAUGUUAUUUUUGAUGACAUCAUGUAUUACCCAAGCAAAUAUGCUUUGUGAAAGAUUUUUUUUAUGGUGUUGAAAUAAAGAAUCAGUGAAUCA